UCACCAUCCACUGAGCAAAUUGAG
rnacentral:piRNA from 1 species